UACGUGGGGUGCAAGCGUUAUCCGGAUUUACUGGGCGUAAAGCGUACCGUCGGUGGCUUUUUAAGUUUCUUGUUUAAUCCCAGGGCUCAACUCUGGAGCAGCAAGAAAAACUGAAUCGCUUGAGUUUGUUUGGGGCAGCUGGAAUUCUCAGUGGAGGGGUGAAAUCCGUAGAUAUUGAGAGGAAUGCCAAUCGCGAAGGCAGGCUGCUAAGACAUAACUGACACUCAUGGACGAAAGCUAGGGUAGCAAAAGGG
rnacentral:rRNA from 1 species